rnacentral:rRNA from 1 species
AAUCUUCGACAAUGGACGACAGUCUGAUGGAGCAACGCCGCGUGAGGGAAGAAGGUUUUCGGAUCGUACAGCUCUGUUGCGAGGGAAGAACAAGUACGGGAGUAACUGCCCUUACCUUGACGGUACCUCGUCAGAAAGCCACGUCUCACUACGUGCCAGCAGCCGCGGUAAGACGUAGGUGGCAAGCGUUGUCCGGAAUUGUUGGGCGUAAAGCGAGCGAAGGCGGUCCUUUAAGUCUGAUGUGAAAGCCCACGGCUCAACCGUGGAGGGUCAUUGGAAACUGGAGGACUUGAGUACAGAAGAGGAAAGCGGAAUUCCACGUGUAGCGGUGAAAUGCGUAGAGAUGUGGAGGAACACCAGUGGCGAAGGCGGCUUUCUGGUCUGUAACUGACGCUGAGGCGCGAAAGCGUGGGGAGCAAACA